rnacentral:rRNA from 1 species
UUGGUACAAGAGAAGUGAAGCGGUGACGUGGAGCAAACCUCAGAAAGCCAAUCUCAGUUCGGAUUGUAGGCUGCUACUCGCCUACAUGAAGUUGGAAUCGCUAGUAAUCGCGAAUCAGAAUGUCGCGGUGAAUACGUUCCCGGGUCUUGUACACACCGCCCGUCACACCACGAGAGUUUACAACACCCGAAGUCAGUGGCCUAACCGCAAGGAGGGAGCUGCCUAAGGUGGGGUAGAUGAUUGGGGUGAAGUCGUAACAAGGUACC